UUGUUGUUGUUGUUGCUGCUAUUUCUUGGGCCGCUCCUGCGGCAUAUGGAGGUUCCCAGGCUAGGGGUUGAAUCGGAGCUGUAGCCACCGGCCUACGCCAGAGCCACAGCAACGCGGGAUCCGAGCCGCGUCUGCAACCUACACCACAGCUCACGGCAACGCCGGAUCGUUAACCCACUGAGCAAGGGCAGGGACUGAACCCGCAACCUCAUGGUUCCUAGUGGGAUUCGUUAACCACUGCGCCACGACGGGAACUCCCUACAUUUUUAAUAUAUAUUUCUGGUUGAUGAUGCUUGCUGGCUCCAAGUUUUUCAUUUAAUUUUUAUCAACUAACAUCUUGGUAGAAACUAGGGUAAACUUGGCAGCUGAGCAAAGGUAGUAAAAAGCUAUAGGGGUAAAGGAAAUGAAAAACAUAGAGAAAAGUUUCUUGGUUGGACACAGGCAAUGGUAUCCAAGAUAUACUUUCUUUCAUUUCAAAUAUUUCAUGUCCUGAGUGGUAAAAAUUAAAAAGACUGACAAAACAAAGUGUUGGUGAGAGUGGGGAGCAAUUUAAGCUCUCAUAAAUUUAUUCAUUGACUUUGGAAAGCCAUUUGGAAAUAUAUAAUAAAACUAGACGUAGACCUAUGCUGUGAUUCAGCUAUUUAACUUUUAGGUAUAUACUCAAGAAAAGUAAGUGCAAAUAUUUACCAAAGGUUAUGUACAAUGAUUUUCAUAGGACAAAAUGCCAAGAUCCCAAAACAUCAAUCAAUGGGAGAAUAGGUGUAUUCACACAAUGGAGUACCACACAGUAAUAAAAAGGAGUAACUGUGACUCCAACACAACAUGGUUGAUGGUUAAAUCUCUAGAAGUUAUCUGUAUUAGGCAGAAUUCUCCAGAGAACCAAGAGAAUGCACAUAAGGAAUUGGUUCACCUGGCUUUGAAGACUGAGAAGUCCCAUAGUUCGCAGUCGGCAAGCUGGAGACACAGGUGAGCUGUUGGUAUAAUUUUGUCCAAGUCCAAGGCAUGAGAAAACUGAUGUCCCAGCUCAGACAGAGAGCAAAUUCCUCCUUACCCCACUUUUUUCUACUCAUGCACCCAGAUGAUUGGAUGAGAAGCAAGCACACUUGGGAAGGCAAUCAGCUUUCCUCAGUCUACUGAUUUAAAUAUUUAUGUCAUCCAGAAAUGCCCUUACAGACAUACCCAGAAUGCCUAGGUACAUGUUUGGGCACCCAUGGCCCAGUCAUGCUGACACAUAAAACUAACCAUCACGAGUCCACUCCUUGUCAACUUGACACCCAUAACAUCUCCUUAAACCAUACUUAGUCUCAAACAUAGAUAAUAAAAAAUUGUAAUUCCACCUAACAUGACAGGACUAUACUACCUACAAUUGAAACACACUAACCCCUUCCCCAGAAGAGAAAGUCCUUGAAUGAUGUUUAUGCUUCUCCUAGUUUCUGGUAACUUAAGUACUAUGAUAUAGAAUUGAUACUGAAGUAACAUGGUAAUAAGUCAAUACAACUUACAUUACUUGAUAAAGGCAUCAGGAGAGGAAAACAAAGAUAUUUGCUAUACACACAACAUAUAACAACAAUUAUAGUUCUCAGUUCUGUAACAGACCACAUGAUCAUAGCUGGCAUUUAUAAUUACCCUCUUCCAUUACCCAUUACCUUUGACUUCAGAAAGCACUUCAGCUGGUUUAGCAGUUCAAUUUCCCCUUGGUAAUCAGCUCGUUUGCUCUGAUAUGUAUUCCUCAGUCAGAAGCAAUGGUGUGUGAAAACAUAAUAUGGUGGAUAAAGUAUUCUGUAAAGUCACAGAUGGUAAUUUUGGCAGAUUUGUUGCAGGCAAGGAAGGCAAAUUCAUAUCAGAAUAAACAUCUAUUCCAAAAGGCUGCUCCUUCCAUGAUACAAGAUUCCAUUUCAGCCAACCUACCACAAGGUAGUUGGCUGAUUACCUCAUGGAGUGGUGCCAAGCUGGGGACUCAGUGUUGGUCUCUACUGCUGGCAGAUUGGGCACUCAGCUGUGGCCAUAGCAAGUCAGUCUUGGUGAAGAGAAGUUCAUGUUGUGCAGCCCAUGUAUAACAUCUCUCCCUGACACCAUGGCUACUUUUUCAUGAAUCCAACAGUCAAUGACAUAUGGCUGAGGAAAGAGAUUGGCUAGUAGAAUAGAAUAGCUCCUCCUAUUUGAUUGAUUAUUAAAAUCCUCUUCUCCUGAGGUCACCCUUUGAUGAGUAUUCACAUGGUACACAAAUAACUUCAUUUUUUUGGCAUUCAAAGAGGUCUACUCACAUACCUCUUCCUCAAAUUUCCUUGUCAUCAAUUUUCCAACCAUGUUCAUUUCAAGUCUCUGACCAUCCAGCCGAAUGGUAAUCAGGCAUUAACCAUAGCCCAUGAAUUAGUUUCAUACAUCUGACCUUUUCUCCUUAGAAGCAAAGUGAACAACCAGGUGUCCUGUCCAAAGCUCAGCUAACUGGGAGGAUUGUCUUGACCACUGUCCUUCAGGGCUGUCCCAGAAAUGGGCUGUAAUGUUGUAGCUGUCUACUUCAAAGUGGUACAUGCAUAUUAUGCAAAACAAUCUAUAAAUCAAACCUGAAUCUUCUCCUCCUCUCAGAGCUGGUGGUAGGGAACUCUAUGAGACUGUAGGUACAUUCUGAGAGAGAGAAAGAGGUAGUGUGGCAGGAAUUAGGAUCAUGGACAUUUGAGUCAUUUAUUCAUGUAACUUGUAACUUCGGGGACUGCUCAGGCCCAAUCACAUUACAUACCACUUGCAUUUGACAAUGGAGUGCUAUAGCGCACACCCAACUUUAUGGCUUUCUGGGUCCAGGAAACACAAUUCAUGAUUGUUAGAUUAGAUCCCAUGGUAACUUGAUGGUCAAUGCUUCAGACUUUGGUCUCUGGUAAGUCCCAUAGGAGACAAAGAGCUAUUUCUCAAAAGAAAAGUGGUUCUCUGAAGAAGAUGUCAGGGUCUUGCUUCAAAAUCCUAAAGACCCGCCAAAGACUUCAAAAAGCAUCCCUGUGUGUCACUGACAUACAACUGAAUCUAUUGGAUCAUAUGGCAGAACAGCUUGCACAGCAGAUCAGACAUGUUGUAGAGCCUUCUCUUGUUCUGGCUCCAUUUCAAAGCUAUCAGCUAUUUAGGACCUGGUAAAUGAGAUGGAGUAACACACCCAAAUGAGGAAUAAGUUGCCUCCAAAAUCCAGAGUUCUCUCUUUGGGAGCACUGUGCCUCUUUCCUUCCUUCCUUCCUUCCUUUUGGUUGUAGGAGGGGCCGGAUGCAGCAAGUUAUCCUUCACCUUACAAGGGAUGCUUCAAAAUGCCCUAUACCACUGAGCUGCUAGAAAUUUCACAGAGGUAGAAGCCCCCUGAAUUUUUGUUGCAAUUAUUUUCUACCCUCUGAUAUGCAAAAUCUUCCUGAGAAGUCUGGAGUUGUUGCUACAUCUUGCUCACUUAGGUCCAAUCAGCAUAAUGCCAUCAAUGCAAUGGACCAGUGUGGUAUCUUGUGGAAAAAAAAGGUGAUCAAGAUACCUGUGAAAAACAUUAUGACAUGGGACUAGAGAGUUGGUCUACCCAUGAGGUAGGACAGUGAAGGUAUACUGCUGAAACCAAACAGCUUCUGGUGGACUGAUGGACAGGGAUAAAGAAAAGGGCAUUUGCCAUAUCAGUAGCUACAAACCAGUUACCAGGGGAUUUGUCAAUUUGCUCAAGCAAUGAGACCACAUCUACUACAGCAGCUGCAAUUAGAGUCACCAUCUGGUCAAGCUUACAAUAAUCUACUGUCAUUUUCCAAGAUCCUUAUGUCUUCUUCAUGGGCCACAUAGGAAAACUGAAUGGGUAUGUAUUGGGAAUCACCACCCUUGCAUCUUUCCAGUCUUUGAUGAUGGCACUAACUCUGUGAUACCUCCAGGUAUGCAGCAUUGAUUUGGGUUUACUAUUUUUCUAGGUAGAAGUGGCUCUAGUGGCUUUUCCUUGGUCUUUCCACCAUAAGAGCCUUCACUCCACAGGUCAGGGAACCAAUGUGGGGAUUCUGCUAGCUACUCAGUAUUUCAUCCAUUUACGUAUUCUGAACUGGGGAAAUAACUACAGAAUGGGCUCAGGGACCCAUCAUUUCCUCUCCUCAAUUCACAAUGAUCCUAGUAAAAGGCCAUAGCCCAUGGAGAAGGUUUAGAGAAAUAUUACUAAUAUAAUUUUUUGGUAAUGUCUCAGGGUCCUCCUACCAUGAGAUGUGGCCUCCUCUUCAUUCAAGGGAUUUUGAAUCUAUAAACUGGCUUAAGUCUGGAAGUUGAUUGAGGGGGUGUGAUCCUCUCUUUUUAUGACUUAGUUUUGGCUUUAAUUCUCUUGACCUAUAACUUUUCUGUUGUAAGUGUAAGGCAACAGUGAAUGAAUUAGGUACUUAAAAAACAAUUUGCUAUAAGCAGCAGUAUUUCCUUAUGAUUAAAAUAAGGACUACGGAAGUAAAUAUCCAAUCAGAGUUAGUAUCCCAGCUCUACCACUUGUUACUCUGUGAUACAUGCUUUGGGUUAGUCAUGUUAACCUCCCUAUGCCCUAGAUUUCUAUCUGUAAAAUGAGAACAAUAAUGGUGCUUAUCAAUGUGAGUUGAUUUGAAGAUUAAGGUGUUAUAAUAUGUAAAGUGCUUAGGAAUCAUGCCUAGCACAUAGUAAGCAGUACGAAGUUUUUAGCUAUUGUUUUUUUCUAACUUUUAUUUUUUAAAGUGAAUGUCUAUUGUUAAUUUGAUAUCUGAGAUUUCUAUGACAUCUUCAUAGUUUAGUUUUUUUUAAACUAUUGACUACCAUUCCUUUUUUAAAAAAUACUUUAAUCUAUUGUUUCAAGUUUAAUUUUAUAUCAACAGAAAUAGAACAAAUAUAUCCCUUAUUAUUAACCCUUAAGCUAAGGAUCUCUUAGAGUAGAGGUUCUCAAACUUAAUUGUACAUCAGAAUCAGGAGUUCCCAUCGUGGCUUAGCAGAAAUGAAUCCGACUAGUAUCCACGAGGAUGUGGGUUCGAUCCCCAGCCUUGCUCAGUAGGUUAAGGAUCCGGCGUUAUUGUGAGCUGUGGUGUAGGCUGGCAGCUA
rnacentral:lncRNA from 1 species